UUCCGGUUGAUCCUGCCGGAGGCCAUUGCUAUCGGAGUUCGAUUUAGCCAUGCUAGUCGCACGGGUUUAGACCCGUGGCAGAUAGCUCAGUGACACGUGGCCAAACUACCCUAUGGAUCAGAACAACCUCGGGAAACUGAGGCUAAUUCUGAAUAACGCUCUUUGCCUGGAAUGGCACGAGCCGGAAACGCUACGGCGCCAUAGGAUGUGGCUGCGGCCGAUUAGGUAGACGGUGGGGUAACGGCCCACCGUGCCCAUAAUCGGUACGGGUUGUGAGAGCAAGAGCCCGGAGACGGUAUCUGAGACAAGAUACCGGGCCCUACGGGGCGCAGCAGGCGCGAAAACUUUACACUGCACGACAGUGCGAUAAGGGAACUCCGAGUGCGAGGGCAUAUCGUCCUCGCUUUUCUGUACCGUAGGGAGGUACAGGAAUAAGAGCUGGGCAAGACCGGUGCCAGCCGCCGCGGUAACACCGGCAGCUCGAGUGAUGGCCGAUAUUAUUGGGCCUAAAGCGUCCGUAGCCAGCUGAACAGGUCCGUCGGGAAAUCUGCUCGCUCAACGAGCAGGUGUCCGGCGGAAACCAGUCAGCUUGGGAUCGGAAGACCCGAGGGGUACGUCUGGGGUAGGAGUGAAAUCCCGUAAUCCUGGACGGACCACCGGUGGCGAAAGCGCCUCGGGAAGACGAAUCCGACGGUGAGGGACGAAAGCUAGGGUCACGAACCGGAUUAGAUACCCGGGUAGUCCUAGCCGUAAACGAUGCUCACUAGGUGUGGCACUGGCUACGAGCCAGUGCUGUGCCGUAGGGAAGCCGUGAAGUGAGCCGCCUGGGAAGUACGUCCGCAAGGAUGAAACUUAAAGGAAUUGGCGGGGGAGCACUACAACCGGAGGAGCCUGCGGUUUAAUUGGACUCAACGCCGGU
rnacentral:rRNA from 1 species